AAUCAGAUGAAACUGUCCCUGUCAAAAAUUUCACAAAAAAUUGAUUUUAGAAAGAAAAAGAAAAUGUGCAGAAUCAGAAUCCUGAAAGUUUGACAAUCCAAGUACUUAGUCUUUAUUCGAUCAAGAUUUGUAUGAAAAUUUGUCUCCUUUUUUCUGAUGAAAAAUCUAUGUCCAAUCUCUUUGUCAGCCAUUUACCUCAUUUUUAAGCCUCCUGAUUGACAAAGAAACAAUACUUGUUGACCAAUCAGGAUCGGAGACUCUGUUUCAAGAUUGAUUUGGAAUUCAUAAAUACAAAAUAACAAGAUAAAGUAUCAGCAAAGGAACCGAUAAUAUCAUUUUAUGUACCAUUUUGUUUUCAACUACUUGCUUUAAUUUAUUUAGGAAUUGUCGAAGCAGAUCUCGAGCAUCAAGGGAAGAUAAGAACAUUCCUGUAUUAAACUCGGACGUCAAACGGACCUCCAAAUUGAGCAAUCUUGAAGUCACUCAGGUACUUGAUUGUGUUUUAUUUUUACGGAAGGAAAAUUGAGCUUUAACAACAGAAACUUUGCAACAAAGUUUUACAUUUUUACUGGAGAAUUUUCUUUGAAUCUAAAAUCUCUCUCUAAAUACCUCUCUUAACGAAUAACUGUGCAAUAACGGGUCAGAUACAAGCAUAUGAAUCAUAGUAUUAAAUUUUAACAUAAUAAUUCGGUGUACUCACUGGGACUUUUUUUUUUAAUGUUUCUCUUUCACCGUAAAUAACCCAUCAAACUUACAUGCAGGGAUAUUUACCCUCGUUUUUUUGGUACUCAAAUUUUGCAAAAAGGUUUGGUCUGAAAUAUUCAAUUUAGCAAAUGCUGAUUUGAUGAUAAUUUAAACACAAAAUAAAGUAUCCUAAGCUUCAUGUCUUCUGGUCUGUCUCCAGUCAUUAUUUUUUUUUUCAUAACUAAUUAACUUUUUUUAGUGCGGAGUGCGGCCAGCUUCCUACGUUGCAACUACGCACAAUGAUGUUCAUAUUCUAGCGAGGCAGCUAAACAAUCUAGAUACGCUGCGAAGCUACGGCUCAGCCGGCGAUGAACUUGAAACUGUUCCUCCUGACUACCUCAGAAAUCUGAAUAAUCCAACUCCUGGGAACAAAAUAAAUAACGAUUUGAAGCGUGUGUCCGAACUAACAACUAACAACCGAAUAGCUAGGAGAUCAUUGAGCUGUGUAGAAGACGAGGCUCGCAUGAUCGGAGGUAGUAGUAUGAUCUCCUUUUUGUUUAUUGAGAGUUGAGAACUGGGAAAAGAUGUGUACAUCGAUUUUUGAUCACUAUCACCGACGAUAUCAUAUUUAGUUGGCCCUGUCAAAUAUUUUGUUUUAAAAAAAAACGGAAAUUUUAAAAAAACAAGUGCCCUAAAAAUUUCCUUAACUAUACAAAGGAGGGAACCUUUAAGUGUAAUUUUAAAAAUAGCUCAGUCCAUUUUCAAGUUUUUUUAUCAAUUUUUAUUAGUUAUUUGGACGUAUUUCUAUCAAACGGAACCAAGCGCCAAUUUGAGUUCCUUUUGAGGAAUUUAGAAUGCCGGAUAGCGCGUUCUGUCAGACGGACCUAAGCGCCAUGGAAAAGCAUUGCGAGUAUAGGACGGAAUAAGCCGGACGCCCGAUUCCACCGCCAAUCCAAGCCCCCCGCUACCUUCCUCCCCCUAUGACGCUUAGGUCCGUUUGAUAGAAAUAC
rnacentral:lncRNA from 1 species